rnacentral:rRNA from 1 species
GACGUAGGGCGCGAGCGUUGUCCGGAUUUAUUGGGCGUAAAGAGCUCGUAGGCGGCUUGUCGCGUCGUUCGUGAAAACCUGCAGCUCAACUGCAGGCUUGCGGUCGAUACGGUCAGGCUGGAGUUCGGUAGGGGAGACUGGAAUUCUCGGUGUAGCGGUGAAAUGCGUAGAUAUCGAGAGGAACACCUGCGGCGAAGGCGGGUUGCUGGGCUGACACUGACGCUGAGGCGCGAAAGCUAGGGGAGCGAACGGG